AGGCCCGUCACUCAGGCCCCUGAGACCGCUUCCAAGAAAAAGAAAGGAGACAGUGCUGCACCUGGGCGGCUGAUUCUGGAGCCAACAGCUCCCUGCUCGGAGGCGGUGGCGUGGACGGCUGCAUUCAUCGGGCCGCCGGCCCCCUGCUUACCGACGAGUGCCGGACCCUGCAGAGCUGUGAGACUGGCAAGGCCAAGAUCACCGGCGGCUAUCGGCUCCCGGCCAAGUACGUCAUCCACACAGUGGGGCCCAUCGCCUACGGGGAGCCCAGCGCCAGCCAGGCUGCCGAGCUCCGCAGCUGCUACCUGAGCAGUCUGGACCUGCUGCUGGAGCACCGGCUCCGCUCGGUGGCGUUCCCCUGCAUCUCCACCGGCGUGUUUGGCUACCCCUGUGAGGCGGCCGC
rnacentral:sRNA from 1 species